UACGUAGGGGGCAAGCGUUGUCCGGAUUUAUUGGGCGUAAAGAGCGUGUAGGCGGCCAGGUAGGUCUGCUGUGAAAACUCGAGGCUUAACCUCGAGAUGUCGGCGGAAACCAUCUGGCUAGAGUCCGGAAGAGGAGAAUGGAAUUCCCGGUGUAGCGGUGAAAUGCGCAGAUAUCGGGAAGAACACCCGUGGCGAAGGCAGUUCUCUGGGACGGUACUGACGCUGAGACGCGAAAGCGUGGGGAGCGAACAGG
rnacentral:rRNA from 1 species